UUAAACUUUUUUUUUUUCUUGAAUUCCAGAAUCGGAUGUUAAGAUCCUUGGCGAUUCAUCGAAGAACUUUGUGUAACUUUACUAAUAAAUCAGGAAAAUCUCAUAAAAGCAAUGAGCGAUAUAAUUUCCGCCGGCGAUUCGCCGGUAACUGAAGCGAAGAGUGGCACUGAUGGCGCUAGAAUUGCAGAGGUGAAGGCGUGGCUCGCCUCUCAAUUUGAUGCGGCUGGUAAAGAUGUUCCUGAAUUCGAAUAUACUCCUCGUAGCAUUGCUCAUUUGUACAAUUUGGCCUCCGUCUCCCAGGCCAAGACACAGGCUGCCAACAUCCUCGCUAACGAUUUCCGCCAGAAAGCCAUCGAGUAUCGUGCACAAGCUGCAAGGAUUAGAGAGAUAUUGGAAAAUGUAGGGCUAGCACAAGAAAGUUUGCCCUCAAAUGUGGUUGGGUCAGCUCAAGUUUUGGCAAAUGUGGCAAACUUGUUGAAUAUAAGAGAUACUGAACUAAGUAGUUUUCUUGUAGCAAUGGGGGAUAUUUCCUUAAGAAAGACUGGAGUAGAGGAAAAGAGGGCUAAAGCACAGAAAGAGUCCAAAAUUCUUCUCGAUUACACUCGGAAGGCAAUAGCAAGGCUUACCUAUUUGAAAAGAACACUUGCACAACUUGAGGAUGAUGUAGCUCCUUGCGAAGCUCAAAUGGAAAACUGGAAGACAAAUUUGGCUGUUAUGGCAUCAAAGGAGCGGCAAUAUCUGCAACAAUAUUCCAACUACAAGGCACUUCUUAAUCGUGUGGGCUACAAGCCAGAGAUCAGCCAUGGAGUACUGGUUGAAAUGGCAGAGCAUAGAAAGGAGUUGGAGAAGAAAACAAAGCCCAUAAUGGAUACCUUGAGGAGUUAUCAGGACUUGCCACCGGAUAAAGCAUUAGCUGCUCUAGCAAUAGAGGACAAGAAAAGACAGUAUGCUGCUGCUGAGAAGUAUCUUGAAGAUGUAUUACAAUCAGCCCUUGCCAGUUCAGAUUAACAAGUGGGAUAUAGAUUAUUGUCGUAUUCUUGUAUUUGUUCAGGUACAUUUUUUCUGUUAUUGCAGAACCUAUGAAGUGAUUGUCACUGAUGCACUAAUGAUAUAUCUUUCAUUUCUGGUUUGUUGUGGGUUGUAUUUGGUCUAGAGCAACAAUUGUUUGAUUGUUAGGAGUACAAAACAAUGAAAGAUCAUAGCAUAUAUGUUUGACAAAUUCUUAAAAGACAUUUUGGUAAUGUUAUGAAAUAGGAUCAUUCUUGUUCAGAGUAAGUUCUUGAGUGAUGUGUGACUAUAAUUGCAAUGAGUUCAAGAAUUACAGCAUGCUCCUUGGCACAUGGGCUUUGGAAAUUAU
rnacentral:misc_RNA from 1 species